ACUGAGACCACCGUCAUUCCAGAAGCCACUGAGACCACCGUCAUUCCAGAAGCCACUGAGACCACCGUCAUUCCAGAAGCCACUGAGGCCGUCACUCCAGAAGCCACUGAGACCACAGGCUCAUCAAAAGCCACAAGACCCUGGGGCCAGAAGGCAAAAAAAAGACAAAAUCCAGUCCAACAGAGGGUAGCCAGCAAUAUGAAGCCAAAAAAAAGUAUGAGUGUCCAGAAUGCUGUUGGAGAGUGAGGCAAAACAACUUUGACUACUCCAAGGUUUUGAAAAGAAGAGUGAGAGAGGGAACAGAGGAGGUCCUCAUUUGUUGGGUUCCAUGCAAGACCUGUGGGACCAAAUGGAAAGACUCCUGGGAGCCCC